UACGAAGGGGGCUAGCGUUGCUCGGAAUCACUGGGCGUAAAGCGCACGUAGGCGGAUUGCUAAGUCAGGGGUGAAAUCCUGGAGCUCAACUCCAGAACUGCCCUUGAUACUGGCGGUCUCGAGUCCGGGAGAGGUGAGUGGAACUGCGAGUGUAGAGGUGAAAUCCGUAGAUAUUCGCAAGAACACCAGUGGCGAAGGCGGCUCACUGGCCCGGUACUGACGCUGAGGUGCGAAAGCGUGGGGAGCAAACAGG
rnacentral:rRNA from 1 species